CGAUAAGCCAUUGGAGGGCAAGUCUGGUGCCAGCAGCCGCGGUAAUUCCAGCUCCAAUAGCGUAUAUUAACGUUGUUGCAGUUAAAAAGCUCGUAGUUGAAGUGAGGGAGUGUGUGUUCAUGAGAGCUAGUCUCGAGUGUUCACAACCUCCCCCCUCCAAUCGGUGUAGUGGGGUAUUCAGUUAUUUCACUACUCCUUUGGUCGUUUACUGUGAGAAAAUUAGAGUGUUCAAAGCGGGCGUUUGUUUGAAUAGAUUAGCAUGGAAUAAUGAUUGAAGGCUUUCGUGUUCGAUUUGAUUGGUUUGUUCAUGGAAGCAAGGUUAAAAGGAACAGUUGGGGGUAUUCAUAUUCACUAGUUAGAGGUGAAAUUCUCGGAUUUAUGGAA
rnacentral:rRNA from 1 species